AGAGUUUGAUCCUGGCUCAGAUUGAACGCUGGCGGCAUGCCUUACACAUGCAAGUCGAACGGUAACAGGUCUUCGGAUGCUGACGAGUGGCGAACGGGUGAGUAAUACAUCGGAACGUGCCCGAUCGUGGGGGAUAACGAAGCGAAAGCUUUGCUAAUACCGCAUACGAUCUACGGAUGAAAGUAGGGGACCGCAAGGCCUUGCGCGAACGGAGCGGCCGAUGGCAGAUUAGGUAGUUGGUGGGAUAAAAGCUUACCAAGCCGACGAUCUGUAGCUGGUCUGAGAGGACGACCAGCCACACUGGGAC
rnacentral:rRNA from 1 species